GAGUUUGAUCCUGGCUCAGGAUGAACGCUGGCGGCGUGCCUAAUACAUGCAAGUCGAGCGAACGGACGAGAAGCUUGCUUCUCUGAUGUUAGCGGCGGACGGGUGAGUAACACGUGGAUAACCUACCUAUAAGACUGGGAUAACUUCGGGAAACCGGAGCUAAUACCGGAUAAUAUUUUGAACCGCAUGGUUCAAAAGUGAAAGACGGUCUUGCUGUCACUUAUAGAUGGAUCCGCGCUGCAUUAGCUAGUUG
rnacentral:rRNA from 1 species